GGAGGAUUAGCUCAGUUGGGAGAGCGCUUGCUUGACGUGCAAGAGGUCAUGGGUUCGAGCCCCGUAUCGUCCACCA
rnacentral:tRNA from 1 species